GACGAACGCUGGCGGCGUGCUUAACACAUGCAAGUCGAACGGAAAGGCCCUGCUUUUGUGGGGUGCUCGAGUGGCGAACGGGUGAGUAACACGUGAGUAACCUGCCCUUGACUUUGGGAUAACUUCAGGAAACUGGGGCUAAUACCGGAUAGGAGCUCCUGCUGCAUGGUGGGGGUUGGAAAGUUUCGGCGGUUGGGGAUGGACUCGCGGCUUAUCAGCUUGUUGGUGGGGUAGUGGCUUACCAAGGCUUUGACGGGUAGCCGGCCUGAGAGGGUGACCGGCCCCAUGGGGACUGGGAGACGGCCCAGACCCCCACGGGGGGCAGGGGGGGGGAAUUUUGCCAAAUGGGCGGAAGCCGGAUGCAGCAACGCCGGGUGGGGGAGGACGGCCUUCGGGUGGUAAACCGCUUUCGCCUGUGACGAAGCGUGAGUGACGGUAAUGGGUAAAGAAGCACCGGCUAACUCCGU
rnacentral:rRNA from 1 species